rnacentral:lncRNA from 1 species
UAGAAAACAACGGGUAUGGCUUUCCCAAUACAAACCAUACUCAGACUGUAUGAACUUCUCAGGGAUCCUAAUCCCUAUCUUCCUUCAUCAAUCAUUCCGAUAACAAAGUUUUAACAAACCACAACUUAAUAUGUAUAAUACUUGCUACUCCUAAGUACUUGUGAGCACAUAAGUCAUUAACACAUAAAGUAUUUUAUCAUUUUAUCUUCAAUGAAUUUCCCCCAAUUCAUUCCUUCG